rnacentral:lncRNA from 1 species
UUUUCAUCUGAUGCUAAUGCUGUGUUCUGUGUUGCUGCCCUGAAGCCUAAGUUGUCUUUUUUGUUCCCAGAACAGGUACACUUUCCACGUUAAACCUGCCUGGGAGGAACCAGUGCUGUUUGGUCUCUGCAAACUGCUGACGUUCCGGCUCUGUGACCAGUUUUGUCAGUGGACUUGAAUGAGGCUGCAAAGCCAGGCAUAUGUGAAGCUGAAACACAUGCUGAAGCAUCCAGACGGUGCCUCAAGCUGGCCACACGUUCCCAGAAAUAAAGAAAAACACCAGAGCCUACCUGCAGAAUGACCUUUCUCCUAGCUGACUUGCAGCUCCCAAGCUUUUGUGCUGGAAGAGAUAGGGAGAUGAAAUGUUCUCCUGUUCAGUGUAUGUGGAAGAGACUGGAGCUGAGUUGCUAUCUUCGUAACAGUAAAACUACAGCGAGAUCUGAAUUCUUUGUUCAUGUUUCAUCGCCUGCUUUGAGGCAAGCAGUGGUGAUGAGUUCAGACAUCAGCCGUAGGGUGAGUACAGAUACCACCCACACCAGCUCCACCAGCAGACUGCAGACUGUAUCUGGUUCCUCCGUUCCUGUCUGUCCCUCACAGCCCUGCCGCAGGCCCUAAUAGAUGUAGAAGCCUUGUUAUACAGGACUCAGGCCCAGGGAUGGCAUGCUGCUGUUGCUGAGCAGUGCUGGCGAUGAUGACCUAAAGUGGUUUUGAUGAGAUUCAACACCAGGUGCUCCUCAUUAGAAGGUCUCAGCAACACUGUGCCAGUCUGAGCAAGAAACGUUCUCCCUCUUCUUCCACUGAGCAGGAGACAGCUGAGCUGUCCAGCAGACAACUCGGUGCUUUCCCG